UGAACGUUGGCGGCAGGCCUUAUACAUGCAAGUCGAACGAGAAAGCACCUUCGGGUAUGAGUACAGUGGCGGACGGGUGAGUAACGCGUAGGAAUCUACCUUCAGGUGGGGGACAACUCGGGGAAACUCGAGCUAAUACCGCAUAAUACCUAAGGGUCAAAGUGGGGGAUCUUCGGACCUCACGCCGGAAGAGGAGCCUGCGUUGGAUUAGCUUGUUGGUGAGGUAAUGGCUCACCAAGGCUACGAUCUAUAGCUGGUCUGAGAGGACGAUCAGCCACACUGGAACUGAGACACGGUCCAGACUCCUACGGGAGGCAGCAGUAGGGAAUCUUGGGCAAUGGGCGCAAGCCUGACCCAGCCAUGCCGCGUGUGCGAAGAAGGCCCUAGGGUUGUAAAGCACUUUCAGUCGCGAAGAAAAGCUUGAAGUUAAUACCUUUGAGUCUUGACGUUAACGACAGAAGAAGCACCGGCUAACUCCGUGCCAGCAGCCGCGGUAAU
rnacentral:rRNA from 1 species